rnacentral:rRNA from 1 species
AUACGGAGGAUGCAAGCGUUAUCCGGAUUUAUUGGGUUUAAAGGGUGCGUAGGCGGUUUGCUAAGCGGGAGGUGAAAUGCCGGCGCUCAACGUCGGAAGUGCCUCCCGAACUGGUGGACUGGAAUGACUCUGCCGUGGGAGGAAUGUGUAGUGUAGCGGUGAAAUGCUUAGAGAUUACACAGGACACCGAUUGCGAAGGCAUCUCACGAAGGGUUGAUUGACGCUGAGGCACGAAAGCGUGGGGAUCAAACAGGAUUAGAUACCCUGGUAGUCCACGCAGUAAACGAUGAUGGCUAACCGCUGGUUUUUUCGGAUCAGUGGCCAAGCGAAAGCGAUAAGCCAUCCACCUGGGGAGUACGACCGCAAGGUUGAAACUCAAAUGAAUUGACGGGG